rnacentral:tRNA from 1 species
GCGGGGAUGCCGGAGUGGCCAAACGGGGCAGACUCAAGGCAUUUGAGUGUUGAGUGCUCAUCUGAGUGCGAUGAAAAAACCAUUUGUAAGUCAUCUGCUGGCUUAGUGCCUACGAGGGUUCGAAUCCCUUUCCCCGCA